GUUUGAUCCUGGCUCAGGAUGAACGCUAGCGACAGGCUUAACACAUGCAAGUCGAGGGGCAUCAUGAGGUAGCAAUACCUUGAUGGCGACCGGCGCACGGGUGAGUAACGCGUAUGCAACCUGCCCGAUACCGGGGUAUAGCCCAUGGAAACGUGGAUUAACACCCCAUAGUACUUUUAUCCUGCAUGGGAUGUGAGUUAAAUGUUUAAGGUAUCGGAUGGGCAUGCGUCCUAUUAGUUAGUUGGCGGGGUAACAGCCCACCAAGACGAUGAUAGGUAGGGGUUCUGAGAGGAAGGUCCCCCACAUUGGAACUGAGACACGGUCCAAACUCCUACGGGAGGCAGCAGUGAGGAAUAUUGGUCAAUGGACGAGAGUCUGAACCAGCCAAGUCGCGUGAGGGAAGACUGCCCUAUGGGUUGUAAACCUCUUUUAUAAGGGAAGAAUAAGUUCUACGUGUAGAAUGAUGCCUGUACCUUAUGAAUAAGCAUCGGCUAACUCCGUGCCAGCAGCCGCGGUAAUACGGAGGAUGCGAGCGUUAUCCGGAUUUAUUGGGUUUAAAGGGUGCGUAGGCGGUUUAUUAAGUUAGUGGUUAAAUAUUUGAGCUAAACUCAAUUGUGCCAUUAAUACUGGUAAACUGGAGUACAGACGAGGUAGGCGGAAUAAGUUAAGUAGCGGUGAAAUGCAUAGAUAUAACUUAGAACUCCGAUAGCGAAGGCAGCUUACCAGACUGUAACUGACGCUGAUGCACGAGAGCGUGGGUAGCGAACAGGAUUAGAUACCCUGGUAGUCCACGCCGUAAACGAUGCUCACUGGUUCUGUGCGAUAUAUUGUACGGGAUUAAGCGAAAGUAUUAAGUGAGCCACCUGGGGAGUACGUCGGCAACGAUGAAACUCAAAGGAAUUGACGGGGGCCCGCACAAGCGGAGGAACAUGUGGUUUAAUUCGAUGAUACGCGAGGAACCUUACCCGGGCUUAAAUUGCAGAUGAAUUACGGUGAAAGCCGUAAGCCGCAAGGCAUCUGUGAAGGUGCUGCAUGGUUGUCGUCAGCUCGUGCCGUGAGGUGUCGGCUUAAGUGCCAUAACGAGCGCAACCCUUGUUGUCAGUUACUAACAGGUUCCGCUGAGGACUCUGACAAGACUGCCAUCGUAAGAUGUGAGGAAGGUGGGGAUGACGUCAAAUCAGCACGGCCCUUACGUCCGGGGCUACACACGUGUUACAAUGGGGGGUACAGAAGGCAGCUACCUGGUGACAGGAUGCUAAUCCCAAAAGCCUCUCUCAGUUCGGAUCGAAGUCUGCAACCCGACUUCGUGAAGCUGGAUUCGCUAGUAAUCGCGCAUCAGCCAUGGCGCGGUGAAUACGUUCCCGGGCCUUGUACACACCGCCCGUCAAGCCAUGGGAGCCGGGGGUGCCUGAAGUUCGUGACCGCAAGGAGCGACCUAGGGCAAAACUGGUGACUGGGGCUAAGUCGUAACAAGGUAGCCGUACCGGAAGGUGCG
rnacentral:rRNA from 1 species